rnacentral:rRNA from 1 species
ACUCCUACGGGAGGCAGCAGUGGGGAAUUUUGGACAAUGGGCGAAAGCCUGAUCCAGCAAUGCCGCGUGAGUGAAGAAGGCCUUCGGGUUGUAAAGAUCUUUUGUCAGGGAAGAAACGGUGAAAGCUAAUAUCUUUUGCUAAUGACGGUACCUGAAGAAUAAGCACCGGCUAACUACGUGCCAGCAGCCGCGGUAAUACGUAGGGUGCAAGCGUUAAUCGGAAUUACUGGGCGUAAAGCGUGCGCAGGCGGUUUUGUAAGUCUGAUGUGAAAUCCCCGGGCUCAACCUGGGAAUUGCAUUGGAGACUGCAAGGCUAGAAUCUGGCAGAGGGGGGUAGAAUUCCACGUGUAGCAGUGAAAUGCGUAGAUAUGUGGAGGAACACCGAUGGCGAAGGCAGCCCCCUGGGUCAAGAUUGACGCUCAUGCACGAAAGCGUGGGGAGCAAACAGGAUUAGAAACCCUUGUAGUCCCA